rnacentral:rRNA from 1 species
CAGCCGCCGCGGUAAAACGAGGGGGGCAAGCGUUGUUCGGAAUUAUUGGGCGUAAAGGGCGCGUAGGCGGUUUGGCAAGUUUGGUGUGAAAUCUUCGGGCUCAACUCGAAGUCUGCAUCGAAAACUGCCGGGCUAGAGUAUGGGAGAGGUGAGUGGAAUUUCCGGUGUAGCGGUGAAAUGCGUAGAUAUAUGGAGGAACACCGGUGGCGAAAGCGGCUCUCUGGUCUGUAACUGACGCUGAGGCUCGAAAGCGUGGGGAGCGAACAGGAUUAGAUACCCCUGUAGUCCCUGUCUCUUAUAA